rnacentral:rRNA from 1 species
UACGUAGGGCGCAAGCGUUGUCCGGAAUUAUUGGGCGUAAAGAGCUCGUAGGCGGUUUGUCACGUCGGGAGUGAAAACUCGGGGCUUAACUCCGAGCCUGCUUCCGAUACGGGCUGACUAGAGGUAUGCAGGGGAGAACGGAAUUCCUGGUGUAGCGGUGAAAUGCGCAGAUAUCAGGAGGAACACCGGUGGCGAAGGCGGUUCUCUGGGCAUUACCUGACGCUGAGGAGCGAAAGUGUGGGGAGCGAACAGG